rnacentral:rRNA from 1 species
ACAACUUUCAGCAACGGAUCUCUUGGCUCUCGCAUCAAUGAAGAACGCAGCGAAAUGCGAUAAGUAAUGUGAAUUGCAGAAUUCAGUGAAUCAUCGAAUCUUUGAACGCACCUUGCGCUCCUUGGUAUUCCGAGGAGCAUGCCUGUUUGAGUGUCAUGA